rnacentral:sRNA from 1 species
GAUGCUUUAUUGUAGCAAUUCGCCGAUGCGGCCACCUUAUAAAUACGCCUUGCGUAAAAUCAUAUCCCAAUUACGUAACCGUCAGUUUAAGGGUUAGGAAAAAGCUUCCAUAUACGUUUAUGAAUCGCAAGGAUUUGCUCGAUACAUUGCAAUAGAAUAAUGCAAUUUUUUAAUUUGAAUUGCUACUAGCUCAGACACAACAACAAGGCCUAAAUGUCUGCGAAAGUUUUUUGUUUUAGGCAAUUUGGAGAUGAUUUCAAUUGAUUUGUAAGUUUUUACUUACAUCAAGUAUUCUUUACAAUAACCCAAUCUAUUUAUUGUACAAAAUGCGAAAAUUAAGAUUUUGAUUCAUAUAUGUUAUUAGAAUCUUUAGAAAUGUAUGAAUACAUAACUAGGUGAAAGUUUAUAUGCGAAGCA